AAAAGGUACAUAAACGCACUGCACUACAGUUUACCCAUCCAAAUGUCACUAUAACGACUAUAAAAGAAUGAAUUACGCUAGACCGGGUCGGAGCCGGGCCGGAGCUUCGUUUUCUACGGAAAGCUACAUGUAAUCACCGAUCAGCCAUCUUAGAAAAUGACUUGUCAGACGCAUCUUCCCGGGCCUGGCCUGGUCUAGCGUAAGUUAUCCUUUAAGGUAGGUACUAGGGGUGCAAAUGAAAUACAUUGAGACAGAAUCAACAUCGUGCAAAAACAACAACUAAGAUCGUAUUUUAUUUGAGUGCAUGUUAAUGCAAAUUCCUCCAUUAAUUUGACCAUAUUUAACGGACCGGAAGUAGGGAUUGCAAACCGGAUUGAUUUUCAAUCCGGCCGGAUCCGGCCGGAUUUUGGCCGUAAUCCGGCCGGAUCCGGCCGGACCGGAUCCGGUUUGGUAUAGGGAUAUAAAAGUUAAUUAAAUGACAUAUUUUUCUAGUUUUUUGCGUAAUACGUAUUCCUAAAUCUAUAAUUUGAAGUUAAUAAAUAACUUCAUAAUAAUAAAAUAGAACUUGGUAUUAAAAAGUGUCACAAUGUCAAUAUCAUUUUAAAAACAAAAUUUUAAAUCGGUAAUUUAUUAUAUUUAACCAUUCUAAAGUGCUCAAAUUUUCGUUUACAACUAUAAAUUUCAUUAGUUUCCAAAGCAUGAUGGGAUUCAUGGGAUGUGGGGUGGGAAUUGGAGCUCCUUGAAAGGACAAGUUUUCGUAACUGUUCUUUGAUUGAAUUCUUUGUAGAGUCUGUUCGGAAAGAGAAGAGUCGUGGGAUGUAUUGGGGCCCAUACAUUCCACGACUCUUCUCUUUCCUCACAAACUAACGUUGACAUCCAUUCUAGCAUAGAGAAAUAAGAAGUACAUAGAGUGCUCACUCCAUACAUCAGUUUUGGUACCAAAACGCUUAUUAUUUUCGUAAUCGACAUCUAGCAUCGAGUAGCGGAACUCUCAGUACUGCUACUCGACAAUAGAUAUCGCGGCAAACAAAAAGUCUAAUGCUCAACGAUUUUCCGCUAAUAUUAUAACCAGAGUAACCGGAACUCUAUUUUAAACUCCUACGCUUACUAUUAUUUAUUACUUUUAUUGAAGAUAUUUUACUUUUAACCAAUUAUGAUAUUAAAUGCGCUCUAGUAUUAUCUUGCUCUAAUUUAUUUAUCCGAAAAAGUAGUAGACUGUAUGACUUAAAAAAUUGUACUUUUUUUAAUUUAUUGAAAAGUAUAUUGGUCAAAUUAUAAGGAACAACACACGACACGACGAUCUCAUGCGAAAAAUAAUAGAAUGUAUGAUUGAAAACCAUCGCGGAAAGGGACUCCCUAAGAAAAGUUACAUAGAUCAAAUAAAGAAUUGGCUAGACGUAGAGUAGCAUGUACCAGUUGAAGGAAAUUCCAUUAGAUUGGAUGUAAUUGUAAAGACAAAAGAUUCUCUCUUAAAUUUGAAUAGAAAAGAAUCUAUAUUUUAUCAUAUAUAUACAUAUAUCGGAGAAAACUAAAGUAGGCUAUUUCUAAAUCCCAUACAAAAUGAGACUUAACGCAAACGCGUACGUCACGUUUCGCUAUCGAAUAAAUUUACACUAGGGGUACAGAUAUUGCUUACUUUUCGAAUUCUAAAAUAUUGUAUUGCCUAUUUAUUGUGGAGAAACAAGAUAUUCUUCAUUCACACAUAUUGAUGAGCCCAACUGUAGUCGGUUAAUCUCCUAUCACAACAUUAUGAUACGACAUAAAGCAUCUAACAAAUGCAUAAAUUACAAAUGCCUUCUAUGGCAUCUCCAUCCUUUCAUUUUUCCUUUUAUUACAGUAUUUAUGUAAUCGUCAUAUCGUGCCACCAACAUGAAAGAAGAAGAAAUCCUCUUCUGUUCCCAGUCAUCGUCAUAAUAAAUAUAUUUUUAUCUUACUAAAUUUAAACUUUUU